rnacentral:rRNA from 1 species
AUUGAACGCUGGCGGCAUGCCUAACACAUGCAAGUCGAGCGAGCGGCGGACGGGUGAGUAAUUUCUGGGAAACUGCCUGAUGGAGGGGUAUAACUACUGGAAACGGUAGCUAAUACCGCAUACCAUCAGAUGUGGCCAGGUGGGAUUAGCUAGUAGGUGGGGUAAUGGCUCACCUAGGCGACGAUCCCUAGCUGGUCUGAGAGGAUGACCAGCCACACUGGGACUGAGACACGGUCCAGACUCCUACGGGAGGCAGCAGUGGGGAAUAUUGCGCAAUGGGGGAAAGCCUGAUGGAGCAAUGCCGCGGGUAUGAAGAAGGCCUUCGGGUUGUAAAGUACUUUCAGCGGGGAGGCGGUACCCGAAGAAGAAGCAACGGCUAACUACGUGCCAGCAGCCGCGGUAAUAC